rnacentral:rRNA from 1 species
GAUGAACGCUAGCUACAGGCUUAACACAUGCAAGUCGCGGGGCAGCAUGGGGGUUGCUUGCAAUCCCCGAUGGCGACCGGCGCACGGGUGAGUAACGCGUAUCCAACCUGCCCUUCACCACGGGCUAACCCGGCGAAAGUCGGACUAAUACCGUAUGUUGUCCAUUGACGGCAUCCGAUUUGGACGAAAGGCUUGGCGGUGAGGGAUGGGGAUGCGUCCGAUUAGCCAGACGGCGGGGUAACGGCCCACCGUGGCUACGAUCGGUAGGGGUUCUGAGGGGCAGGUCCCCCACACUGGAACUGAGACACGGUCCAGACUCCUACGGGAGGCAGCAGUGAGGAAUAUUGGUCAAUGGGCGUAAGCCUGAAACAGCCAAGUAGCGUGCAGGAUGACGGCCCUAUGGGUUGUAAACUGCUUUUAUGCGGGGAUAAAGUGGCCCACGUGUGGGCUUUUGCAGGUACCGCAUGAAUAAGGACCGGCUAAUUCCGUG